rnacentral:rRNA from 1 species
GUCUUGUAAUUGGAAUGAUGGGAAUUUAAACCUCUUCCAGAGUAUCAAUUGGAGGGCAAGUCUGGUGCCAGCAGCCGCGGUAAUUCCAGCUCCAAUAGCGUAUAUUAAAAUUGUUGCAGUUAAAAAGCUCGUAGUUGAAUUUCUGCUGCAUUGCUUUUGCUCCUUUACGAGUCUUUGCAUUGUGGCUUAUUUCGGACUUUGUUUUACAAUGUCCGGAUGUUUACUUUGAGAAAAUUAGAGUGCUCAAAGCAGGCUUUCGCCUUGAAUAGUUUAGCAUGGAAUAAUAAAGUAGGACUUUGGUUCUAUUUUGUUGGUUUUAGGUACCAAAGUAAUGGUUAAUAGGAACAGUUGGGGGCAUUCGUAUUUAACUGUCAGAGGUGAAAUUCUUAGAUUUGUUAAAGACGAACUACUGCGAAAGCAUUUGCCAAGGAUGUUUUCAUUAAUCAAGAACGAAAGUUAGGGGAUCGAAGACGAUCAGAUACCGUCGUAGUCCUAAACCAUAAACUA